UGACAACUCUCAGCAACGGAUAUCUCGGCUCUUGCAUCGAUGAAGAACGCAGCGAAAUGCGAUAAAUGGUGUGAAUUGCAGAAUCCCGUGAACCAUMGAGUCUUUGAACGCAAGUUGCGCCCGAGGCCAUCAGGCCAAGGGCACGCCUGCUUGGGCAUUGCGA
rnacentral:rRNA from 1 species